GCCUGCGACUCAUAGGCAGUAGUGGCUUGAUUAAGGAAACCCAUCAGAGCCGUAGUGAAAGCUAGUCUUCAUAGGACAAUUGUCACUGCUUAUAGACCUGAACUUGGGUGAUCUAUCCAUGAUCAAGAUGAAGCUUGGGUGAAACUAAAUCGAGGUCUAAAUCAAUUGAUGUUGAAAAAUCAGAGGAUGAGUUGUGGCUAGGGGUAAAAUGCCACUCUAACCCAGAGCUAGCUUGUUUUCCCCGAAAUGCGUUGAGAGGCAACAGUUGACUAGACAUUUAGGGGUAAAGCACUAUUUCAGUGCGAGUCACAAGGGCGGUACCAAAUCAAGGAAAACUCUGAAUACUAGAUAUACCUUAAAAUAACAGGUAUCAAUAUCGGCCAGUGAGACAAUGGGGGAUAAGCAUCAUUGUUGAGAGGGAAAUAGCUCAUAUCACUAGCUAAGGCCCCUAAAUGAUCGCUCAGUGAUAAAGGAGGUAGGGAUGCAAAGAUAGCCAUGGGGUUUGCAUAGAAGCAGCCACCCUUGAAAGAGUAUGUACUAGCUCAUUGAUCGCGUGCUCCUGCAUCGAAGAUGAAUGGGGCUAAGCGAUCUGUUGAAAUUGUGGGAUGUAAAAAUACAUCUGUAGGGGAGCAUUCUGCUUUAGAAGGAAGCCCCUGCGCAAGUAGUGGUGGACGAAGUGGAAGGAAGAUUGUCGGUUUGAGUAAUGCAAACAUUGGUGAGAAUCCAAUG
rnacentral:rRNA from 1 species